ensembl:lncRNA
GAUUUCUCCCCUGAUAUUCACAUACAGUUCUAUUAAAACACAGGUCCAAUAGAAGAAAUGAAAAAUAUGACUCAGACUGCUCUUAACUGGAGUCACGUGGACUGUGUUUUAAAUAUAUAUUGUUUGUGUGUGUGCGUGCGUGGUUGUGGUUGUGUAUUAAGGCACAGGCUAGCACCAGGUGUUGAGCGGGGAAUUUAUGGUGUUUCCGGGUCUUUUUAUGGAGACAACCCAGUGUUCUGUCUCCAAGGGUGUCCUCCCUCCUACUCCUUCUCUCCUUCCUCCUCCACCCCUCCUUCUCUCUUUCUGUCCUCCUCUCCUUCCUCCUCCACCCCUCCUUCUAACUCCUCCGUCUUGGGCCCAUCAGGCCUUGUUUUCCCAGAUUUUGGGAUUGCCGCGGCGAUUGUGACAGCGUUUCUUAUUGGUGGUUGACCUCUGGAAGCGUUUGGGCCAGCCGGACCGCUCCCUGCAGAGCUCAGCUGGGAUGGAGAGAAGAGAGAGAGGAUGUGUGGGCUCAGAUGUACAUGCUGUCCUAAAGCCAGUAAGUGUUUCAUGCACUCUAAGAUUGUUAUGUUGUUGUAAUCCUAACAACGGGUCUAAUGAAGUGCUAUCAGGUGGACUGUCUUACCCUUCAGGUACUCAUCCUGUUGGCAGACAGUUCUAACACAUAUCUCC